AGUGAACGCUGGCGGUAGGCCUAACACAUGCAAGUCGAACGGCAGCACAGUAAGAGCUUGCUCUUACGGGUGGCGAGUGGCGGACGGGUGAGGAAUACAUCGGAAUCUACUUUUUCGUGGGGGAUAACGUAGGGAAACUUACGCUAAUACCGCAUACGACCUACGGGUGAAAGCAGGGGAUCUUCGGACCUUGCGCGAUUGAAUGAGCCGAUGUCGGAUUAGCUAGUUGGCGGGGUAAAGGCCCACCAAGGCGACGAUCCGUAGGUGGGCUGAGAGGAUGAUCAGCCACACUGGAACGGAGACACGGUCCAGACUCCUACGGGAGGCAGCAGUGGGGAAUAUUGGACAAUGGGCGCAAGCCUGAUCCAGCCAUACCGCGUGGGUGAAGAAGGCCUUCGGGUUGUAAAGCCCUUUUGUUGGGAAAGAAAAGCAGCAGGUUAAUACCCCGCUGUUCUGACGGUACCCAAAGAAUAAGCACCGGCUAACUUCGUG
rnacentral:rRNA from 1 species